rnacentral:rRNA from 1 species
CCUACGGGAGGCAGCAGUGAGGAAUAUUGGUCAAUGGACGAGAGUCUGAACCAGCCAAGUAGCGUGAAGGAUGACUGCCCUAUGGGUUGUAAACUUCUUUUAUAUGGGAAUAAAAUGUUCCACGUGUGGGAUUUUGUAUGUACCCUAUGAAUAAGGAUCGGCUAACUCCGUGCCAGCAGCCGCGGUAAUACGGAGGAUCCGAGCGUUAUCCGGAUUUAUUGGGUUUAAAGGGAGCGUAGGUGGGUUGUUAAGUCAGUUGUGAAAGUUUGCGGCUCAACCGUAAAAUUGCAGUUGAAACUGGAAGUCGUGAGUACAGUAGAGGUGGGCGGAAUGCGUGGUGUAGCGGUGAAAUGCUGAGAUAUCACGAAGAACUCCGAUUGCGAAGGCAGCGCACUGGACUGCAACUGACACUGAGGCUCGAAAGUGUGGGUAUCAAACAGGAUUAGAUACCCGAGUAGUC